AUACGAAGGGGGCUAGCGUUGUUCGGAAUUACUGGGCGUAAAGCGCGCGUAGGCGGACUGAUCAGUUGGGGGUGAAAUCCCAGGGCUUAACCCUGGAACUGCCUUCAAUACUGUCAGUCUUGAGUUUGGGAGAGAUGAGUGGAAUUCCUAGUGUAGAGGUGAAAUUCAUAGAUAUUAGGAGGAACACCAGUGGCGAAGGCGGCUCACUGGCCCAUUACUGACGCUGAGGUACGAAAGCGUGGGGAGCAAACAGGAUUAGAAACCCUAGUAGUCC
rnacentral:rRNA from 1 species